rnacentral:rRNA from 2 species
UGCUUCUGAUUGAUAACAUUUGAGUGAGUGGCGGACGGGUGAGUAACACGUGGGUAACCUGCCCUAAAGUGGGGGAUAACAUUUGGAAACAGAUGCUAAUACCGCAUAAAACCUAGCACCGCAUGGUGCAAGGUUGAAAGAUGGUUUCGGCUAUCACUUUAGGAUGGACCCGCGGUGCAUUAGUUAGUUGGUGAGGUAAAGGCUCACCAAGACCGUGAUGCAUAGCCGACCUGAGAGGGUAAUCGGCCACACUGGGACUGAGACACGGCCCAGACUCCUACGGGAGGCAGCAGUAGGGAAUCUUCCACAAUGGACGAAAGUCUGAUGGAGCAACGCCGCGUGAGUGAAGAAGGUUUUCGGAUCGUAAAACUCUGUUGUUGGAGAAGAACGUAUUUGAUAGUAACUGAUCAGGUAGUGACGGUAUCCAACCAGAAAGCCACGGCUAACUACGUGCCAGCAGCCGCGGUAAUACGUAGGUGGCAAGCGUUGUCCGGAUUUAUUGGGCGUAAAGCGAGCGCAGGCGGUUUCUUAAGUCUGAUGUGAAAGCCUUCGGCUCAACCGAAGAAGUGCAUCGGAAACUGGGAAACUUGAGUGCAGAAGAGGACAGUGGAACUCCAUGUGUAGCGGUGAAAUGCGUAGAUAUAUGGAAGAACACCAGUGGCGAAGGCGGCUGUCUGGUCUGUAACUGACGCUGAGGCUCGAAAGCAUGGGUAGCAAACAGGAUUAGAUACCCUGGUAGUCCAUGCCGUAAACGAUGAGUGCUAGGUGUUGGAGGGUUUCCGCCCUUCAGUGCCGCAGCUAACGCAUUAAGCACUCCGCCUGGGGAGUACGACCGCAAGGUUGAAACUCAAAGGAAUUGACGGGGGCCCGCACAAGCGGUGGAGCAUGUGGUUUAAUUCGAAGCAACGCGAAGAACCUUACCAGGUCUUGACAUCCUUUGACCACUCUAGAGAUAGAGCUUUCCCUUCGGGGACAAAGUGACAGGUGGUGCAUGGUUGUCGUCAGCUCGUGUCGUGAGAUGUUGGGUUAAGUCCCGCAACGAGCGCAACCCUUAUUACUAGUUGCCAGCAUUUAGUUGGGCACUCUAGUGAGACUGCCGGUGACAAACCGGAGGAAGGUGGGGACGACGUCAAAUCAUCAUGCCCCUUAUGACCUGGGCUACACACGUGCUACAAUGGAUGGUACAACGAGUCGCGAGACCGCGAGGUUUAGCUAAUCUCUUAAAACCAUUCUCAGUUCGGAUUGUAGGCUGCAACUCGCCUACAUGAAGCCGGAAUCGCUAGUAAUCGCGGAUCAGCAUGCCGCGGUGAAUACGUUCCCGGGCCUUGUACACACCGCCCGUCACACCAUGAGAGUUUGUAA